AGUGAACGCUGGCGGUAGGCCUAACACAUGCAAGUCGAACGGCAGCACAGUAAGAGCUUGCUCUUACGGGUGGCGAGUGGCGGACGGGUGAGGAAUACAUCGGAAUCUACUUUUUCGUGGGGGAUAACGUAGGGAAACUUACGCUAAUACCGCAUACGACCUACGGGUGAAAGCAGGGGAUCUUCGGACCUUGCGCGAUUGAAUGAGCCGAUGUCGGAUUAGCUAGUUGGCGGGGUAAAGGCCCACCAAGGCGACGAUCCGUAGCUGGUCUGAGAGGAUGAUCAGCCACACUGGAACUGAGACACGGUCCAGACUCCUACGGGAGGCAGCAGUGGGGAAUAUUGGACAAUGGGCGCAAGCCUGAUCCAGCCAUACCGCGUGGGUGAAGAAGGCCUGCGGGUUGUAAAGCCCUUUUGUUGGGAAAGAAAAGCAGCAGGUUAAUACCCCGCCGUUCUGACGGUACCCAAAGAAUAAGCACCGGCUAACUUCGU
rnacentral:rRNA from 1 species